rnacentral:rRNA from 1 species
UGGGGAAUAUUGCGCAAUGGGCGAAAGCCUGACGCAGCCACGCCGCGUGGGUGAUGAAGGCCUUCGGGUUGUAAAGCCCUGUCGUGAGGGAAGAACACAAUGACGGUACCUCACAAGAAAGCACCGGCCAACUCCGUGCCAGCAGCCGCGGUAAUACGGAGGGUGCGAGCGUUGCUCGGAAUCACUGGGCGUAAAGCGUACGCAGGCGGAUCGUUAAGUCGGGUGUGAAAGCCCGGGGCUCAACCCCGGAACUGCAUUCGAAACUGGCGGUCUUGAGUACGGGAGAGGGAGGUGGAAUUCCUGGUGUAGAGGUGAAAUUCGUAGAUAUCAGGAGGAACACCGGUGGCGAAAGCGGCCUCCUGGCUCGAUACUGACGCUCAUGUACGAGAGCGUGGGGGAGCAAACAGGAUUAGAUACCCUGGUAGUCCACGCUGUAAACGAUGAGUGCUAGCUGGUGGGAAUGUUUACCGUUUCACUGGCGAAGCUAACGCAUUAAG